UACGUAGGGCGCGAGCGUUAUCCGGAAUUAUUGGGCGUAAAGAGCUCGUAGGCGGUUUGUCGCGUCUGCCGUGAAAGUCCGGGGCUCAACCCCGGGUGUGCAGUGGGUACGGGCAGGCUGGAGUGCAGUAGGGGAGACUGGAAUUCCUGGUGUAGCGGUGAAAUGCGCAGAUAUCAGGAGGAACACCGAUGGCGAAGGCAGGUCUCUGGGCUGUUACUGACGCUGAGGAGCGAAAGCAUGGGGAGCGAACAGG
rnacentral:rRNA from 1 species